GACGAACGCUGGCGGCGUGCCUAAUACAUGCAAGUCGAACGCAGUGGGGACGGGUGAGUAACACGUGGGUAACCUCCCAUCAGAGGGGAUAACACUUGGAAACAGGUGCUAAACCGAUAGUGAUGGAUGAACCCGCGGUGGAUUAGCUAGUUGGUGCAGUAACGGACCACCAAGGCCCCGAUGCAUAGCCGACCUGAGAGGGUGAUCGGCCACAUUGGGACUGAGACACGGCCCAGACUCCUACGGGAGGCAGCAGUGGGGAAUGUUGGACAUUGGGGGAAACCCUGAUCCAGCCAUCCCGCGUGUGCGAUGAAGGCCUUCGGGUUGUAAAGCACUUUUGGCAGGAAAGCGGUACCUGCAGAAUAAGCACCGGCUAACUACGUGCCAGCCGCCGCGGUAAUUC
rnacentral:rRNA from 1 species